AUUGAACGCUGGCGGCAGGCCUAACACAUGCAAGUCGAACGAGUGGCGGACGGGUGAGUAAUGUCUGGGAAACUGCCUGAUGGAGGGGGAUAACUACUGGAAACGGUAGCUAAUACCGCAUACCAUCAGAUGUGCCCAGAUGUGAUUAGCUAGUUGGUGGGGUAACGGCUCUCAAAGGCGACGAUCCCUAGCUGGUCUGAGAGGAUGACCAGCCACACUGGAACUGAGACACGGUCCAGACUCCUACGGGAGGCAGCAGUGGGGAAUCUUGCGCAAUGGACGCAAGCCUGAUGUAGCCAUGCCGCGUGUAUGAAGAAGUCUUUCGGGUUGUAAAGUACUUUCAGCGGAGAGGCGUUACCCGCAGAAGAAGCACCGGCUAACUCCGUGCCAGCAGCCGCGGUAAUUC
rnacentral:rRNA from 1 species